UACGUAGGUGGCAAGCGUUGUUCGGAUUCACUGGGCGUAAAGGGUGCGUAGGUGGUGAGGUAAGUCGGAUGUGAAAUCUCCAAGCUCAACUUGGAAACUGCAUUGGAAACUACCUUGCUAGAGGAUUUGAGGGGGGAUUGGAAUACUUGGUGUAGCAGUGAAAUGCGUAGAUAUCAAGUGGAACACCAGUGGCGAAGGCGAAUCCCUGGAAAAUACCUGACACUGAGGCACGAAAGCUAGGGGAGCAAACAGG
rnacentral:rRNA from 1 species